GACAGAGGGUGCAAACGUUGUUCGGAAUUACUGGGCGUAAAGCGUGUGUAGGCGGUCUGCUAAGUCGGGUGUGAAAGCCCUGGGCUCAACCCAGGAAGUGCACUCGAAACUGGCGGGCUAGAGUAUCGGAGAGGUUGGUGGAAUUCUCGGUGUAGAGGUGAAAUUCGUAGAUAUCGAGAGGAACACCGGUGGCGAAGGCGGCCAACUGGACGAAUACUGACGCUGAGACUCGAAAGCGUGGGGAGCAAACAGG
rnacentral:rRNA from 1 species